rnacentral:rRNA from 1 species
AUACGUAGGUGGCAAGCGUUGUCCGGAAUUAUUGGGCAUAAAGCGCAUGUAGGCGGUGCCUUAAGUCUGUCGUGAAACUGCGGGGCCUAACCCCGUAUGGCGAUGGAAACUGUGGCACUUGAGUGCAGGAGAGGAAAGGGGAACUCCCAGUGUAGCGGUGAAAUGCGUAGAUAUUGGGAAGAACACCGGUGGCGAAGGCGCCUUUCUGGACUGUGUCUGACGCUGAGAUGCGAAAGCCAGGGUAGCGAACGGGAUUAGAUACCCCGGUAGUCCUGGCCGUAAACGAUGGGUACUAGGUGUGGGAGGUAUCGACCCCUUCCGUGCCGGAGUUAACGCAAUAAGUACCCCGCCUGGGGAGUACGGCCGCAAGGCUUAAACUCAAAUGAAUUGACGGGG